UUCUUAUCUCGAGAGGUGGAGGGACUGGCCCUAGGAAACCUCGGCAGCGGACUAUUAAAGUACUGUGCCAAUUCCAGUAGCGAUUUGCUUGAAGAUAAGAA
rnacentral:ncRNA from 2 species